CCACCAAUAUAACUCCGAGCCUGAAAGCCUACGUCCUUUAUGGAUACGGUUUGCGGCCGCCAGGGUAGGACUGGAAACGGUCCUGCCUCCCCUUUUUUGGAAAGGAGUAUACAAUGCCAAGCC
rnacentral:ncRNA from 2 species